GAUGAACGCUGGCGGCGUGCCUAAUACAUGCAAGUCGAGCGAAUGGAUUAAGAGCUUGCUCUUAUGAAGUUAGCGGCGGACGGGUGAGUAACACGUGGGUAACCUGCCCAUAAGACUGGGAUAACUCCGGGAAACCGGGGCUAAUACCGGAUAAUAUUUUGAACUGCAUGGUUCAAAAUUGAAAGGCGGCUUCGGCUGUCACUUAUGGAUGGACCCGCGUCGCAUUAGCUAGUUGGUGAGGUAACGGCUCACCAAGGCAACGAUGCGUAGCCGACCUGAGAGGGUGAUCGGCCACACUGGGACUGAGACACGGCCCAGACUCCUACGGGAGGCUGCAGUGGGGAAUCUUGCGCAAUGAGCGAAAGCUUGACGCAGCAACGCCGCGUGAGGGAAGAAGGCCUUCGGGUCGUAAACCUCUUUCAGGGAAGAGUAAGGCCCGUGAGUUAACAGCUCAUAAGGGUUGAAAGUAUUCCCAGAAGAAGCACCGGCUAACUACGUGCCAGCAGCCGCGGUAA
rnacentral:rRNA from 1 species